AUACGUAGGGGGCGAGCGUUGUCCGGAAUGAUUGGGCGUAAAGGGCGCGUAGGCGGCCGCUUAAGUCUGGAGUGAAAGUCCUGUUUUCAAGAUGGGAAUUGCUUUGGAUACUGGGGGGCUUGAGUGCAGGAGAGGUUAUCGGAAUUCCCGGUGUAGCGGUGAAAUGCGUGGAGAUCGGGAGGAACACCAGUGGCGAAGGCGGGUAACUGGACGGCAACGGAGGCUGAGGGGCGAAAGUGGGGGGAGCAAACAGGAUUAGAUACCCGGGUAGUCCUAGCCGUAAACGAUGCGGACUUGGUGUUGGGAUGGCUUUGAGCCGCUUCGGUGCCGAAGGGAAGCUGUUAAGUCUGCCGCCUGGGAAGUACGGUCGCAAGACUGAAACUUAAAUGAAUUGGCGGGG
rnacentral:rRNA from 1 species